GACGAACGCUGGCGGCGUGCCUAAUACAUGCAAGUAGAACGCACAGUUUAUACCGUAGCUUGCUACACCAUAGACUGUGAGUUGCGAACGGGUGAGUAACGCGUAGGUAACCUGCCUGGUAGCGGGGGAUAACUAUUGGAAACGAUAGCUAAUACCGCAUAAUAUUAAUUAUUGCAUGAUAAUUAAUUGAAAGGUGCAAUUGCACCACUACCAGAUGGACCUGCGUUGUAUUAGCUAGUAGGUGAGGUAACGGCUCACCUAGGCGACGAUACAUAGCCGACCUGAGAGGGUGAUCGGCCACACUGGGACUGAGACACGGCCCAGACUCCUACGGGAGGCAGCAGUAGGGAAUCUUCGGCAAUGGACGAAAGUCUGACCGAGCAACGCCGCGUGAGUGAAGAAGGUCUUCGGAUCGUAAAGCUCUGUUGUAAGAGAAGAACGGGUGUGAGAGUGGAAAGUUCACACUGUGACGGUAUCUUACCAGAAAGGGACGGCUAACUACGUG
rnacentral:rRNA from 1 species